UACGUAGGAGGCAAGCGUUGUCCGGAAUUACUGGGCGUAAAGCGCGUGUAGGUGGUGGGACAAGUCUGCUGUGAAAGCGCCUGGCUUAACCGGGCGAGGUCGGCGGAAACUGUCCGACUAGAGGACGGUAGAGGGGGGUGGAAUUCCCGGUGUAGUGGUAAAAUGCGUAGAGAUCGGGAGGAACACCUGUGGCGAAGGCGGCCCCCUGGGCCGGCCCUGACACUGAGACGCGAAGGCGUGGGGAGCGAACGGG
rnacentral:rRNA from 1 species